GUUCUUCCCUCUUACGGAGCAUUUCUCGCUGGAAGCGAGCAACAGAGCGAAGCAACUCGUCGUCUCCCAUCUCCGAUGGCGGCAGAACGAUACUGCAGUCCAAGAAGUUGUUGAUGGCAUUCAGCAGGUCCUGCCUGUCGUCCGCCAGCACGCCCAACCAAGGCCGCCAUCUUGUGGCGUAUGUGAGCGAGUUUUACAGCUUCUAUUUAGUUGGACUUUAUAUUCAGACAUGAGGGUGGAGAUUGAGCGUCCAAUCUGAUGGUAGUCCAUGCUGGUGGUUGGAGGUCCAAGCAGAACGAAGAGGAAUCUGACGGGCACAGGAACUUCCAGAACGGACUCCAGUUCCACCGCCUCUUGGAGCCUCA